UACCCUUUGUGAACCUUUAGCCUCUUGCUAGCUUCGGCUGGCAGAGGAUUUUUACACACACUCGAAUGUAAUGAAAACUAUUGUCGUGCGCAAGCACUAAUGUACAACUUUCAACAACGGAUCUCUUGGCUCUCGCAUCGAUGAAGAACGCAGCGAAAUGCGAUAAGUAAUGUGAAUUGCAGAAUUCAGUGAAUCAUCGAAUCUUUGAACGCACCUUGCACCCUUUGGCAUUCCGAAGGGUAUGCUCGUUUGAGUGUCAUUGUACUCUCACACUCUCCGAUCCUAUGGAUUCGGGGAGCGGUGGACUUGGGUGUUGCUGCCUUUCCCUGUGGCUCACCUCAAAUGUGUCAGUGCACCUCUUGGUUGGACAUAGUACGGCGUGAUAAGUGUCUUCGCCGGCACCUCGCAAGAGGGUGGCCGAUCGGGAGCUCUGCGCUUUCAAACCGUCUUCGGACAAUUUCUGACAUCUGACCUC
rnacentral:rRNA from 1 species